ensembl:lncRNA
UCAGAUUGGUAAAUCUUUCUUCCAGAGGUCAACAGGAAAAACCCUUUAAAUAACAUUGCAUGUCGCUUUUAUAUUCUUCCUUCUAAUGAUCUGUGGAGUUAAAAAUGAUCUCCAAAUCUUUUAUUUAGUACAUGGUGAAAAUACCUUUUAAUUCUAUAUUAAAUAAAGGAUUACUAGUUUUUUAAUCAAAAAUGUCUAAGUUGGCAAAAAAGAUAUGACAUCAGUGUGACACGGUGGAAAGAACAAGGAACAGGGAAUGUGAAAACCUAGUCCAGGUUUUUCAUUUUAACACUGUAGCUCUGUGGCCUUAGGAAACUUUAAUUUAUCUGCUACAAUUUGUUCACUAGCAAGGGGGGAGUGAUAAUGGCUGCCCUGCCUUUCUGAUAGGGUUCUAAUGGACAUCACUUGGGAGUAUUGAGAAAUGAUCUACCAUCACAGCCACCAUCGAACCCACUUGUUCCCAAAAUGGCCAGCCUAGAAAGUCCUCGGCUCCACACAUCAAGCGCUCCACAUCCUCAUGUUGAAACAUCCCCAAACUGCUGCUUGCCCUUCUACAGUCAACGAAGAACUGCCAAAUUAUCUGAAAACCAACUGGAAAGUCCUCUCUAGAAAUCCCACCUUAAUAGAACACUGGCCGAUUGGAUUGUUUCAAUAUUUCCUCUAUAAAACUUGGUCUCUUUUCUAAAACUUUUGAACCCCUGCUGAAACAAGCAAUAAGUUUUCUUGCUGCAAGUUUAUAAACAAAUACCCUUUCUUAAUUUUGUCUUGAUUGUAGGCUUAUCUUUGACAACAUGUUUAUGUCAGUGCUUAUAAUAAAUGUGUUCCAUGAAUGUAAACACUGCUGCAGAGUUUUACAUUUGCUAAAGGAGAUGGCAAAGUUAAAAAUAAACUUCAAGGCAUCAAACUUAAGUUCAUUUGGAAAAGUAGACUCAUGAAAGAACGUGAACACUUUUACACAGAGAGUCUUUUGGCCAAAGGCAAGGGGAGGUCGCAAUUUAUAUAUUUCAGUCCAAAAGUCCACAUGGCCCAAGGGAAAAACGUCCUGGGAAUGAGUCAUCUGUUCUGCUUGGCAGUUAGACUGCUGAAGUUGCAACAGCUGGAACGUAUGCCUGCUUUGCAGGAUCUCCCUGUAUCUCCACAGAGCCCUUUAGACUGUUCAUACUCCCUCACUCUCCUUGGGGAAAUCUUCUAGCAUCUGGUAGCUAGGACUAAACGUAAGUUAGAAAUAGAUGCUUUUCUCUGUUAUUUAGAGCCAGCCUUCUAGUUUUCUAGUUUGCUCUGGGCAUGUAAAGCAUGGUGGUGUAGGUAGUAGUAGAGGCGUACAUGUUUUUAAGGAAAAUGGGAGUGCUGAUAAAAGUUAAUGAGAUGCUAUGAAACAGAAACUAUUUAAUACCAGGAACCUUUGGUAAAGAUGCCGAAGCUACUUCUACUACAGAGGAAAGAAAUUCUAGGGAUACGUAAUAAUUUGUCUUCAAAUAUCUGAAAGGUUGGUAAGUGGGGACAAAAGAAAAAGAUGAUGGUGACUCUUAAGGUUCUAACAACUUCUAAGGAGUGGAAGAUAGUGAGGCUCAGCUUUUGGCUCCACCUAAAGAAGAGCAUAGGCGUUCCCUACUCUGGUUGAAGCAAAAGCAAACAGACUGCUCUUGUGAGGUGAAGCAGAGAAAACUAGACAAGGAGCUGAGACUGGGAUGGGACUUGGGAUAGGGAAAGCAAAUGGGUUCAAUUCCUGUGUCAACUAUGGUCAAGCUGUAAGGGCUGCCUGGAGCACUAUGGGCCUCUGACACUCUCCAAGCUUAUGAGGAAAUGCUGUGAUUGAUGAGAAUAGAUGUGCAUGCUGUAUAUUUUCUCUCCCUGGACGUCCCUUCAAAACCCUCUUCGCUCCUUAGAUUUGGUGAUGCUAAGGUGGUACUACUUGGUGCCCAACAUACGUACCCUGCCCUAUAAAUUCAAGCAACUUGAAUACACAUGACUUUCUUUGUCUACCACUCUUGUAGCUUGUUACUCGAGGGGAUAAGUGUGUAGUUGGAUUGGCUUGAUUGUAUUGAAAGCUUAUGAAAAUUGUACCCCCUGCUGAGGUAUGCGGUUAAUAAAAUUUCAAGGAGGCAUAGUGAUAUACUGGAACAUAAUUUGGCCUCUACCCCACCACUUCACUGAGGUUGCCUCCACCAAUGAUGCCAUGAAGACUGUUUUACCAAAACCAGAAUGCACUUGACAACUUUGGAAACACUUUUCUCUCUUGGCUCAUGUCAUGCUGCUUCCCUCUGCUUUUUUUCUACCUUACUAAUCGUUCCUUCUUGGUAUCUUUUACCCUGAUCCACAUGCCAGAGUCAGAUUCUCUUUAAGAAAUGAUAAAAAUAUAUCUACCCUUUUAUCUACUAUUCCUGUAGAUUUAAUUGCUACUCUUUUAUUGAUAAUUCUAACAUUUCUAAAUAUAGCCAUGAUCUUUAAUCCGACCAUUCUAUCUGACUACUUGCUUGAAAUCACUUCUUGGAUGGCUGACAGCUUUCUGAAAUUUACCAUUCAGUGUGGACUGUCAAUCCACCUCUCAUCUCUUUCCUCCUCUCUUAACCAUCCCAUUGUACAACCAGCCACCCAGUUAAUCAUCUAGAAAAUCUGAAGCUUACUGAUUCUUUUCCUUCUCCUACCUCCUGAACCCUUACCCAAUCUAUCAUCAUAAAUAUCUACAAACUACAUUUGGAGUGUUCUACUUCUUUCCAUUAUGCUGCUGCCACUCUGGACCAGACUACCAGUGUCUCUUACCUAAAUGAUUGCAAUAGCCUUCUAAAUAUUUGCCCGCUGAAUUCUAGUAUUCACAGAGUAGUAAGAGGACUCCUUUAUUCAUUUAGUGUUAAUUUAACAAACAUUUGAUUGAGUACAUGAAGGGCUUACUAAGAUCAGGCUGUUCAAGGCUCCCGGAAGCCAUCAGGGAACAAAACAAAGAUCCCUACCUUUGAAGAGUUUAUAUGUUCUUCCAUCUCCUAUGGAAGAUGGACUGCAAAUAAUCAACAUAAUAAAAAGCAAAUAUAUAAUGGGCUAGAUGAUAGCAAAUCCUGUGGAAAAAUUAAAAGUAAAGCUUGAUAAAGGGGCUAGGGAGUGCGGGGAAGUCAUGAUCCAGUAUUAAAUAGGUCAGGAUAGGUCUUGAGGGAGGACUCAAGAUGGCGCAGUGAGAACAACCCAGGAAUGAAGCUCUCGGUGAAUGCGCGGAGAGGGUGAAUCAGGGCCGCAUUUCCACAUGGAUCUUUGUUGCCCACAGAACGGGGAAAUUCCGAGGUAUAAAAGAGACACAGGACGCCAGGCAGAGGUUUUGGCUGGUGCAGCUGGCAGCCGGUGUGGCCAGCGGCCGGCGCUGUAGCACGGUGGCACUACACAGCACUCCGCACAAAGCGCACUGGUCUGGGUGCCCCAUUGAACCGGUUUCUGAGACUUGAGAGGGCUGAACUUGAGACUGAAUGGGACUUGGACAGUGAGCCAGCCCAGGAGAUUCCAAGAAAACAGCGUUUGGGGUAGCGCAGAGGGACAAACAAAAUGGAGAUUCCAAACACUCCAGGUGGGGACGUUCCCUUAGGGCACAGUUGAACCCAGUACGGUGCAGCUCCAUGGGGGAGGGUCGUCCAACAUUACCGAGGCAAUCCACCCCUACUGAGGUACACGCCCAUUGCUGACGCAGCCUGCCAUUGCCAAGGCAACCUGCUACAACAGAGAGACUCCGCCACAGGGCAUAGCCCAUGGCAGCAGGGCGGAGACCACAGCGGAAGGGCAGAGCCUGCAGCAACAGGGCGAACCUCACACCAGCAGGGCGGAGCCUCGGCAGGCAAAUAUUGACUAGACUGCCUCCUAGCUGGGCAGGACAGCACAAUGGACACUCACAAAGAAAGCCCCAACCCACCCGAGACAGAGCAUCUAAGAAAAAAAG